GGCUCCCGGGAACGCGCACGCGCCGGAGGCCGCGCACGUAGCUCAGCGGCGAUUCCCCGCGGCGCGUCGGCCCGGACCCCGAGGACCCGCACCCAUGUGGAAACUGCUCCCCGCCACGGGCCCGGCCCGAGAACCGUACAGACUUUUGACUGGUGUUGAAUACAUUGUUGGAAGGAAGAACUGUGGCAUUCUAAUUGAAGAUGAUCAGUCAAUCAGUCGAAAUCACGCUGUGUUAACUGCUAACUUUCCUGUAACCAACCUGAGUCAAGCUGAUGAAAUCCCUAUAUUGACAAUAAAAGAUAAUUCUAAGUAUGGUACCUUUGUUAAUGAGGAAAAAGUGCAGAAUGGCCUUUCUCGAACUUUGAAGACAGGGGAUAGAAUUACCUUUGGAGUAUUUGCAAGUAAAUUCAGAGUAGAGUAUGAACCUUUGGUUGCAUGCUCUUCUUGUUUAGAUGUGUCUGGGAAAACUGCUCUAAGUCAAGCUGUAUUGCGACUUGGAGGACUUACUGUAAACAAUUGGACAGAAGAAUGUACUCAUCUCGUCAUGAUGUCAGUUAAAGUUACCAUUAAAACAAUAUGUGCACUCAUUUGUGGGCGUCCGAUUGUAAAGCCGGAAUAUUUUACUGAAUUUCUUAAAGCAGUUCAGUCCAAGAAGCAGCCUCCAGAAAUUGUAAGUUUUUAUCCACCUGUUGAUGAACCAACUAAUGGAAGUAAAAAUAUUGAUCUGUCAGGACGACCAGAGAGAAAACAGAUCUUCAAAGGGAAAACAUUUGUCUUCCUAAAUGCCAAACAGCAUAAAAAAUUAAGCACCGCAGUUAUAUUUGGAGGAGGAGACACUAGGUUGAUAACAGAAGAAAAUGAAGAAGAUGAUAGCUUCUUCUCAGCUCCUGGAACUUGUGUUGUUGAUGUAGGAAUGACAGACUCACAGAUGUUAAUUCCUAACUCUCAGAAAAAAUGGAUUCAUUCAAUUAUGGAUAGACUCCAGAGGCAGGGUCUUAGACCUAUUCCUGAAGCGGAAAUUGGAUUGGCAGUUAUUUUCAUGAGUACAGAGAAUUACUGUGAUCCUCAGGGCCAGCCCAGUACAGGACUGAAGACGACAACUCCAGGGCCAAGUCCUUCCCCAGGCUUCUCAGGCAAUGGAAACCUAACGCCAGGUGUCCCGGUGAACACUACAGCAUAUGUAGCUGACACAGAAUCAGAACAAGCAGAUACAUGCAUGGAUUUGAGUGAAAAGCCAAAAGAAAUCAAAAUCUUUGGACUGGAACGAAAAUUCAGACUGCCUUCACAAGAAACAUCCACUGUGAGGGACCCCCCCAGAGUAAGCGCUACUAGUAAGAGUACAGUGUCACAUACUCUGGUCAGGACGGCAGUCCCGAACCAUCAGCUUUCGCCAGCUAAACUCCCAGGUGCAAAUAAAAGUGGAGAUCGGGCUUCUCAGCAACCGCAGACCAACUCCAUCAAAAACUACUUUAAGCCAUCCACCCAAAAAAGGGAAAGAGAUGAAGAAAAUCAAGAAAUGUCUUUAUCUAAAUCAGCAAGAAUAGAAAUGUCUUGUUCUCUUUUAGAGCAAACACAGCCUAUCACACCCUCAAUGUGGACAAGAAAGGAGCAGCACCUAUCUCGGAAUGAGCCUGUGGGAAAAGAAACAGAUAGCUCGUUUGCAGAUGUAGAUUUAAAAUCCACUGUGAAAAAUUCUGCCACUAAAUCUCUUUCUACAGAAGAACUAAGAUCAGAAAAAAGAAAAGAAAUUGAUGACUUAGCCAUAGAAGAUGAAGUAUUGGAAGAGUUAUUCAAAAACAUAAAACCAGAGUUAGAAAUGGAAGUGAAAGUUCAGAAACAAGAGGAAGAUGUCAAUAUUAGAAAAAGGCCACGAUUGGAUCUGGAAACAAAUGGCACUUUUAAUGAUGAAGCAAGACCAGAAAGUAACAAAAUCUCUCAAGAAAAUGAAAUUGGGAAGAAAUGUGAGCUCAAGAAAGAAUCACUAUGGUCAACUAAAGAACUAUCUAACAAUGAGGAACUUAAGGAUGAUGGUGAGGUGCUUCCACGGAAGGUGUUACUAACUGAAUUUAGGUCACUGGUGGUUAGUAACUCUGCCUCCAGAAACGCAGCAAGUGUAAGUAAUGAUUAUGGUCAACUGAAGAAUUUCAAGAAAUUCAAAAAGGUCUCAUUUCCUGGAGCCAGAAAACUUCCACACAUCAUUGGAGGAUCAGAUCUAAUAGCUCAUCAUGCUCGAAAGAAUACAGAGUUGGAAGAGUGGUUGAGACAGGAAAUGGAGCUUGCUUGUGAAGAACGGGAUUGCCCUGAUGCCUCCACACUGGGAGUAUGGCCGUGUGCUCAGUCACAGGCCUACUGCGUGCCCCAUCUACUUCCUGUUGCCUGAAGACAUUGAGUUGAAGAAAGGAGGGACUCAGCUGGAGCUAUGUGCAGCUCCUUCUUGGGAUUGGAAUUAAAUGUGUACCAGGGAGUAUAUUCCACUAAAUCUCUCUUCUUUUUGUUAGAACGACUUUAGGUGCCCGAGGUAGGAUUUGCUCUUUAAGAUAAUAGAGUUGACUUUCUCUUUCUGCAGGGCCCCUGCUUCUCUAUAAAGGUGCUUCUGUCUUGAUGUCUCAUUUCCCUAGUCUUGCCCCAGCUGCUCUUCUGCAUUCCCUGCCCUUUGUUCUUUUUCAGCCCUUCCUUCUCUACCUCUGCUGCAGACCAGUCUUACUUUUCAUAAUCACUUAGUCAGUUCCCGUCCUUUGCCUGAACUUAGGGUAUUUUCAUUUCUUGAAUUUAGGAUAUUUUCAUUUCAGUAAAUGUAGUAGUUCUUUAAAUUCUAUCCAACCUGAUUUGAAUUUUGAAAAACUGGGAGAUGCAGUUUUCCCAGGCUGUUAAAAAAUGCCAGUAAUAUGAGAAUUUUUGUUUCUUAAUACUGUUACACUUAAUGUUUUUACUAAGAUACAUAAGAUAAAGCUUAUUUUUCUUUACUAUAUUAAACUUUAAAAUUAACAUCCCCUGCUAGGAAGCUUUUAAGAGUGUUUAGGAUAAUGGUACCAGCAGCUUUUUUAACAAUUGUGAAAAUCAUGUCUUCCCAUUUAUGUUCUGCUGUACCUAUUAGAAAAUGUAAAAAGAUACAAUUUCAUUUUAACAUUUCACUGUAUGAAUAGAAAAUCAUUCUGUAAGUUUGAAUCCUGCAAGUCAUUCUUCUAGGCCUUUUCCAGAGACUCAGAAGCAGUGUAACAGCCUGAGUAACAGCUGGUGCUCUUACUCAGAGUUCCUGAAGAAGAGAGUGAGAAGGGAUUGAGAAGGUAGGAUGGAGCCAGGUUACGAAGAGCCUUUCCCAUUUUUAAGAGUCAGACUCAAGAGCCUGUGUUUUCUUUGGUAGGUGGGAGAAGUCAUUGAAAGGUUUUGAGUGACACAUGGUAGGAUCAUAGCCAGACUUUAGGAAGAUACAUCCAGCACAGGGCAUGUCCAGUCCUAACUCUCAAAGGUGCUUUAGAAGUGUGGUGCAAAAUCAACAUGCAAAAGAGGAAUCUCUUGCUGAUGAUCUCUUUAGAUACAAUCCUAAUAUAAAAAGGAGAAGAUAAUAGGGUUUUUAUAAAGAAGCCAUGGAAAAGAAAAGCCGUUUUCUAUCAAGAGUUCACUUCAGGUUUCUUAUGGGAUACAUGCAUCUAGUAUAUAGAAGAGAUUUAAGUUUAUGGCCUAAAUUUGUUAAAUAAAAUGCACAAAACUCCA